rnacentral:rRNA from 1 species
UACAGGGGGUGCAAGCGUUGCUCGGAAUACUGGGCGUAAAGCGAGCGCAGGCGGCCGAUUAAGUCAGAGGUGAAAGCCCGGGGCUCAACCCCCGGAAAUGCCUUUGAAACUGGUAGGCUUGAAUGCAGGAGAGGGUCGCGGAAUUCUUGGUGUAGAGGUGAAAUUCGUAGAUAUUCGCAAGAACACCAGUGGCGAAGGCGGCUC